rnacentral:rRNA from 1 species
UACGGGGGGGGCAAGCGUUGUUCGGAAUUACUGGGCGUAAAGGGCUCGUAGGUGGCCAACUAAGUCAGACGUGAAAUCCCUCGGCUUAACCGGGGAACUGCGUCUGAUACUGGAUGGCUUGAGUUUGGGAGAGGGAUGCGGAAUUCCCGGUGUAGCGGUGAAAUGCGCAGAUAUCGGGAGGAACACCGGUGGCGAAGGCGGUUCUCUGGGCCUGACCUGACGCUGAGGAGCGAAAGCGUGGGGAGCGAACAGG